rnacentral:lncRNA from 1 species
AAAGAACCUUUUGAAAUUUAGAAGUCUUUCUAAAGAAGGUGUUCUUAUGGUAAAAAAGAAAAAUGCUGUGAGACCUUAGGUAAGUAACUGUACUUCUCAGGAUUAACAGGGAUAAUAAAAAGGUGAUCUUUAGGACUGAAUGAGAAAGUAUAUGUAAAAAUGCCUAAGAUACCCAACACAGAGAAAGACUUAAUUAUUUUCUGUUAUUAUUUAUUAAAGUACAUUUUUGUAUACAAUUUUGUGUUUCUACAAUAUGAGUAUUUCACACCCAGAUUUAAGUAAAAUUUAGUAGGGUCCUUUUCUGUGCUAGGUGUUUUUUUUUUUUAUGUUGGCAUAUUUAAUUCCUAAAACAAUCUUACAAAGUUUGAAAAGUUGUUUCUUUUUAAAUAAUUAAGCCAUAUGAUUUCAGAAUGGCUAAGCAACUUGCCUAAUGUCACACAUUUGAUGUCUCCAGAUUCCAAGUUUCGUGUUCUUUCAUUUACAUUAAUAAAAAUUCUAAUAUCAGUACUUCAUAUGCACUGAAUUUGAAUAGAGCAUUAUACUCAGUUAAUCAUGUAUCACAUCAUUUUAUCACCAAAGUACACCUAUGAGGUUGCUGCCAGUGACUCCAUGGAGAUUAAAGAGUGUCAAGUCAUUGCCCCAGACCACACAGGUAGAAGUUGCAGAGCAAGGAUUUAAGGCCAAAUAGUUCUAAUUUUUCUGCCUGUGGUUGUCCUACUCCUUUACAACAUCCAUCAUUUCAGGGACUUAUUCUUACCAAAUAAGAGUCAAUGUGAGUAGGGGGAACAUACACAUUUUGUUUCAAUGUGACACUGUAGAUUGCUCCUAAAAUGUCACAGGCUGGGAACCACUAACCUAAGAUCUCCUUUUGAUUUUUAAUUGAGUCGCUCCUGAAAUGUCUUCAGUAUCUUUAACUCCAUGUUCUUUCCCUUCUUUGCUUCAGUAACUCCCAUGCAUUCUUCAAGCCUUAGAAUAACUGGAACCUCUUCUGAGAAGCUUUUCUUUCUACUUCCAGUCUCAAUGGGUGCUGAAUUUCAGUUCAUCACAGGUUUUGACAACAGGAGUGUGAGCAAUGACAAAAAGGCCUGGAGAUUAAAAAGAUGGCUCUGCUGCUCCACAACAUGUCUCAGAAUCUCCUUUCUUGAAAUCACAGGUAACUGAUCACCUUACCAUUGCUAAAGUCUGUUUAAAAGCAGACUUAAAUUGCCAAUGGAGUCAACAGCAAUUAAUUUUACUAUACCCAACAUGAGAAGAACUGAUCAAAAUCCAUGUUUCUAAAGGUCUGACUACAAAAGCAAAUGAUUUAGGCACUGUUCCGUAUCAAGAAUCUUUCAUCAUAACCAUAGAAUACUGUCUCUAUAAGCCUGUGAAAUGCCAUAGAAAACAUUGGAACAUAAAAUAGUUCCAAUCUAUUAUUUUUAGCAAAAUUAGUGGCAAUGUUUGCUGAUUCUUAGCAAGAUAAAUACCCAUAUCACCUAUGGUUAUUUCUUUCUAGUAUAAUAGUGGUGGGUGAUUGCUGAAGAUAACUUUUUUUUUCAAGCCAGAAACUUGAGGGAUCAACUUGUCUUCUCUUUAUCUGUCACAACUUCCUGUCUACCCUUUAACCUUCUCUCUCUCUCUCUCUCUCUCUCUCUCUCGACAAUUUGAUUGACUCUACAUCAUCACAGUCUUUGGAAUUUUUCAAUUUUAAUUCAUGCUUAUUGUACCUACCAUAUUUCAGAGCACCACCAUCAUUCUCUAAUGUUACCUAACUGGUCUCCUUGCCUUUCUUCUUGAAGCUUCUGCAGUUUAUUUCUGUAUUCAU